AUACGUAGGUGGCGAGCGUUGUCCGGAAUUACUGGGCGUAAAGGAUGCGUAGGCGGAUAUUUAAGUCAGAUGUGAAACCCCCAGGCUUAACUUGGGGACUGCAUUUGAAACUGGGUAUCUAGAGUGCAGGAGAGGUAAGUGGAAUUCCUAGUGUAGCGGUGAAAUGCGUAGAGAUUAGGAAGAACAUCAGUGGCGAAGGCGGCUUACUGGACUGUAACUGACGCUGAGGCAUGAAAGCGUGGGUAGCAAACAGGAUUAGAUACCCUGGUAGUCCACGCUGUAAACGAUGAAUACUAGGUGUGGGAGGUAUCGACUCCUUCCGUGCCGCCGCUAACGCAAUAAGUAUUCCGCCUGGGGAGUACGAUCGCAAGAUUAAA
rnacentral:rRNA from 1 species